rnacentral:rRNA from 1 species
CUUAUGAAGUUAGCGGCGGACGGGUGAGUAACACGUGGGUAACCUGCCCAUAAGACUGGGAUAACUCCGGGAAACCGGGGCUAAUACCGGAUAACAUUUUGAACCGCAUGGUUCGAAAUUGAAAGGCGGCUUCGGCUGUCACUUAUGGAUGGACCCGCGUCGCAUUAGCUAGUUGGUGAGGUAACGGCUCACCAAGGCAACGAUGCGUAGCCGACCUGAGAGGGUGAUCGGCCACACUGGGACUGAGACACGGCCCAGACUCCUACGGGAGGCAGCAGUAGGGAAUCUUCCGCAAUGGACGAAAGUCUGACGGAGCAACGCCGCGUGAGUGAUGAAGGCUUUCGGGUCGUAAAACUCUGUUGUUAGGGAAGAACAAGUGCUAGUUGAAUAAGCUGGCACCUUGACGGUACCUAACCAGAAAGCCACGGCUAACUACGUGCCAGCAGCCGCGGUAAUACGUAGGUGGCAAGCGUUAUCCGGAAUUAUUGGGCGUAAAGCGCGCGCAGGUGGUUUCUUAAGUCUGAUGUGAAACGCCCACGGCUCAACCGUGGAGGGUCAUUGGAAACUGGGAGACUUGAGUGCAGAAGGAAA